GACGAACGCUGGCGGCGUGCCUAACACAUGCAAGUCAACUUGACUGAAGGAGCAAUCUGACAGUAGAGUGGCGCAAGGGUGCGUAACGCGUAAGUAACUUGCCCAAGGUAAGGAAUAACGUCGAGAAAUCGGCGCUAAUACCUCAUAAUGCAGCGGAUCCGCAUGGAUAUGUUGUUAAAGGUUUACCGCCUUGGGAUAGGCUUGCGUCUGAUUAGCUAGUUGGUGUGGUAACGGCACACCAAGGCUACGAUCAGUAACUGGUCUGAGAGGAUGAUCAGUCACACUGGAACUGAGACACGGUCCAGACUCCUACGGGAGGCAGCAGUGAGGAAUAUUGGGCAAUGCUCGAAAGAGUGACCCAGCAACGCCGCGUGGAGGAUGAAGGUAUUCUAUAUCGUAAACUCCUGUGAGAGCAGACGAAAGACAGAUUAUAAUCUGGAUGACUGUAUGCUC
rnacentral:rRNA from 1 species